rnacentral:lncRNA from 1 species
UCUCAAUGACUCUGUCCCUCCCUCCGUGACUCCGUCUCUCUCUCUCCCGUGUUCUUAUUUCACUCCCAUCGAGUCAUCGACGCAUAUUUCUUCAACCGUAAAUCGGUUAUUGUUUCGAUCGGCAAUACGAUUACGCUUUCUCGUUCUCGACGCAAAACUUCCACUCCGACGAACGGCCGACGAUCUCUGGUUAGAUUCGAAUUCCAAUUGCUUGAAUUGUGUAUUUGCUUUUAUGUAUAUUUCUGUAUACUUUUGGUAUUUGUUAUUAAAUUUGAUGGAUGUCUGAAAUUUAUGCUAUUGAAAUUUAUGGAGAGUCUCCAACGAGUCAUUGAGCUCCUUCUUUGUGAUCCUACCAUCCCCAUUUCUAUCAAACAUUUGGAAAACCUGAAUGAGCUUGGACGCGUCCAUUCUCCGCCGGAGAGGAGAAGGUGGUUGUGGUGGUGGAUGGGUGGUUUUGUUGGUGGUGAGGGUUUGAUGUUGGAGGUAAGUCCUGAGCUUCUUGGGAACCUAAUAAACGAGGCGUGUAUUUAGGAGGUUGUAAACAAGUCAAGUCCUCAACAAAAUGGCUGGCAUUGGAGGAUGCGGUGUUGGAAGGAGGUUUUAGUGGUGCGUGUUCUAUUGUUGUUGAGAAAAAUUGGAGACACAUUUGGGUGCUAAAUAAGGAGUCUAAUUAAUUAGGCCAAAUCUUCUGUAUAAAAGGCAUGUACCGUACAACACCAAAGAAUUGAUCUUGUGGUUGAGAUUCUCUCCUACCAAAUAUAUUGAUUGGGAUCGAGUCUUUUAGCGAAAAAUGCAGGUUUCCUUAUUGCCUCCAAACGAUUAGCAAAAUAAAUGUGUGUUAUACUCAUUAGCUAUGCACGAUAGUGGGUGCAGUUACGAAUCAACAAUGUUAGUUAUUAACAAAUGUGAUGUUUGUUAUGAAUAUAGUUAAGCGGUAAAAUCAAAAAUCAAAUCAAAGUGGGGGUAAGUUUUUUCACAAAUUAAAGUGGAUCACAACUUUAGUGUGAGAAAUGAAUUUUGGUAAUGAAUUAAUGUGGUUUUACUUGGAUCUAGAAUUAAAAUUUUAUAAUAAAUUUGGUAUGUUAAAGGCUUAUCCUGAAUCUAUUGUGAUGAUUCAAAUUAUUCAUUUUGUUGGAUUUGAUAACACGAUCAUUCAUCAUAUUCGGAUAUCGGUGGCUGGUAUGCAUAUAUCACCAGAUUAUUUUUGUACGAUAAGUACGACUUUCAGAAUAUACCGUCCGAUUUUUUAAGACAAAUAUGUGCUUCGAUUGUGCGACUUUCGAUGUUAAUCAACUUAAUUUUUUGCAUUAGUGAAAUUUUCAGUAUGUAUUAUAAGAUAAUGGUUCAGAUCAUUCAGGUUGGUUUGGAAUAGGUCAAUAACCUACCAAAUUUUAUUAUUCAGCUCUUUUGAACUUUAAAGAAACAUAAUUUUUUUAUUUAAAUUUAGAAUUUAGUUUGAUCGAGAAAUAAAAAGAUGUUUACUUACCCAAAAAAGAGAAACAAAAGGAUGUUGGAUCAGACCAUCUUCUAUGAUUGAGUAGUUAAAUGAUUAAUUAAAAAUCAAAUUAUGGCAAAAAAAUGUAUCAAAUGAUAUUACUAAAAAAUGCUGAUCUAAUUGUACAAAUGCUAUUUAUUUUAUUUUUGUGGAAAAAUAAAUAAAAUCCCAAGAGUUUGACCUUGGUAAGAAAUUAAAUUAUAACAAAUCAAAGCUUAGAAUUUUAAUUCGGUCACAAUUAAAGUCAUUCGUUAGUUUUUGUUCAUCUAGGAUUAAUUGAACUAAGUCUCAUCAAAAAGCUUGGGGCCCAUAGCCCGGUCUCGGCUCGGCCCGGCCCAUGGUUCAGAGGGCCCAAGCCCAGGAUAGUGUGGGUUGGGUUGGGGUCCAAGUUUAAAACCCGUGGACCGGCCCACGCCCCGACCCAUGACAAAGCUCGUGGGCCGUCCUGUGGGCUAACUUAAAUGCAUUAUUUUUUUUUAUAAUAUUUUAUAUAUAAAGAAUCAAUAUUUUUGAAUAAUUUUAUGCAAUUAUGUAUUAUUUUUUUCAUCUUUAAUAUUUUUAUUUUAAAAUAAAAUAUAUUUUAAAAAAAUAUUAUUUAAAAGCCCGUGGGCUGGGCUUGGGUCUCAUCUUUUAAGUCGGCCCAAUCCCGACUCGACUCAUUGACCAGUCAAAGUCCAUCGGGUCCGGCCCAGUCAAAAUGGGUCUGGGCCGGCCCAAGCUCGGCCCAUGACGACCUAAACCGAACCAAUUUGUUCCUACAAAAAAAACUUUAGAAAAUGAUGUCGUUAGACGUUUCCCCACUUUUAAAGCCCUAAAUAAUCUAAUUAGAGAUUCAAACUUAAGUUGUUAUGGCUCAAUUUGUUAUAAUUAAAACUAUAUAAAAUUUAAUUUAUUAUUGAGGUCAAACCUUAGGGCCAUUUUUGCAAUUUUUUUUUUUUUUUUUAUAAAAGAACAAAAUCAAUGGUUAUUUCCUCAAACACCCCCUCAUCUAUUAGCUUGUGUCACUAACACCCCCUCAACUAUAAAACCGACCAAAUUCACCCCCUCAUUUAUUCAAAAUUGUCACUAAUACCCCCUCCGCCUACAUUCCGUCAGUCAAUGCAUCAAAAAGUGGUCAGUUAAUUGCAAUUAUUUUCACAAUGGACCACCGCCCGUCCUGCCCUUUACUCCUCUACACACAUUAUAUAUAUUAUAUAUAUAUGAUAGUAUAUAUAUAUAUAUAUAUAUAUAUAUAUUAUAUAUAUAUAUAUAUACCUUGAAAGAGCAACCCACUCCAUCUAUUUCUCUCUUCUCUCUCGUUCAUCUAUUUCUCCUCUUUUCGCCAUAGUUGGAAGUAGCAGUAAUAGUAAUAGCAACUAAGAAGCCUACAAUGGUGAGUUUUUGUGUUAUUGCGGAGUUAGAGCUCUGCUUAGGACAGCUAGGACAGAAUAGCAACUUUGGUAACCGAUUUCUUGCAUGUGUGAACUUCAAAGUAUGUAUAAGUCUUUGAUGUGUUUUUACUUAAUUUCUCUUUUUACCUUUUUGACUAUUCCUCCACUUUUUUUUUGUGUGUGUAGAAAGAACUGUCUUUGUGAGUAUUUCAACUGGGUUGAUCCUCCAAGCUUUCCAAGAGUGAUGGAGUUUAGGAAGAUUAUGGUGGGAAAAAAAUGGAUUUGUAAAAGAGUGAGGAGCUAAAAAAGAGCAAUUAAAAGCUUUUGCUGAAGAUGGAAGAGAUGAGAAAUAAGAAUAAAAUUAUGUUCAAGAGGAACAAGGCCCUUGCUAAUGCCCUAGAUGCAACUCAAGGGAGAGUAAAAGUGUUAAAUGGCAUAGUAAUCAUGUUAAUCACUAUAGAGAUUGUAAUGUGGCUGAUUAAACAUUAACAGCAAAAAUGUUGUACUUGCCUUAAAAGAGUGCAUGUAUAAGUUGUUUUGUAAUGGAAUGAUUAUGAUGACUCUUUUAUGUUGUGUA